UACGUAGGGUGCGAGCGUUGUCCGGAAUUAUUGGGCGUAAAGAGCUCGUAGGCGGUCUGUCGCGUCGAUCGUGAAAACUUGGGGCUUAACCCUGAGCUUGCGGUCGAUACGGGCAUGACUGGAGUUCGGCAGGGGAGACUGGAAUUCCUGGUGUAGCGGUGAAAUGCGCAGAUAUCUGGAAGAACACCCGUGGCGAAGGCGGCUUCCUGGAACGACACUGACGCUGAGACGCGAAAGCGUGGGGAGCAAACAGG
rnacentral:rRNA from 1 species